CAUGCACCCCCCCCCCCCACUUAGAGGAUGACUGAUUUCUCUUGGUGUUUAGAGUCUAUAUAUUUAUCUAGCACCAUUUGAAAUCGGUUAUAAUGAUUGGGGAACAACAGCUGUCUUCAG
rnacentral:precursor_RNA from 17 species